CUUUGAAGAGAGAGUUCAAGAGUACGUGAANNACCGUNCGGGGAGUAAACGGGUGGUACCCGAAAUUUCGAAAGGGGAGAUUCAAGUCUCGCCGGCGUCGGGCGGUGGCCGCGACCAGGGAUGGUGUCUUCGCGGUCGGGGGGUAACCCUCGGCCCGUNGGGCGCCACCCCGCGACCGCCGCGUUUUCCGGCGUCGGUGUGACGCACUUCUCCCCGAGUAGGACGUCGCGACCCGUCGAGCGCCGGACUNNGAGGGCCCGGGUGGAGCCUGUGCCGCUCGUUCGNCGAGCGGCGCACGACCCCGGGAUCCCCGGCCGGGUGCCCGACGGUAUGAAGCGAGAAGUCGACGCGCCGNUUUNNNNNNNNNNNNNAUCGGCGUCCGGCCCUCCGCAAGCGCCCGCGGGAGUUCGGGUUCCGGACCCGGUCCGAUC
rnacentral:rRNA from 4 species